UGAGGGCAAGUUCUACCAGCAUGCAGCCGCGGAGGCCGGAAGAAAUACAGUCGUUCCAGAAAGACGUGUAGCCCUGGGCGGAGAAGAAGAAAAACACACACACGUUCGCUUAGCUGACGUGUUGAGUCAGUCAUGGAGCAACACUUCCAGGUUCCACGGGACCCCACACACUGAGAACUGCUCAGGUUGAAAUGUCAGCUCAGUGGGUGGUGAUAAUAGUUCUUGGACAGCUGACGGUCCAUUUGUUGUGCUGAGUUGAAUAAACGCAGGGGAGAGGCCAAAGACAGAGAAGCAGUUAUUGCAGUGGAACUGAACCUUCCUUGUUGUUGACAGAAGCAGGGGAUCCUGACCUUAUGUGUGAAGGCAGUCCCCUGUCCUCAUUGAGCCUGCCUGCACACCUGCGGCUCAUUGGGUCAUUACCAGAGGAGUACUUGAGCAGCGGGCUGUCACCACCUCAACGCCAGAGUGCUUCCCAGUAUUGGAAAGACUUCCUGUGUUACUGGAAAAGCCUGGACCUUCUACCCCUGGAAGGAUUUACUGAGUCUCACUGACCAAGGGGAAAACCUCCACAUGAUCCGUUCAAUUCCACUCCUAGAAAACCAAGUGACCGUCCGCUCCUUUACUCCUCUGGGUCC